AUGACCCUCCCCUGCCAGGAAAAGGACCUGCCCCCUCUGCCCCAGGAGCCCCCAGGAUCACCCCAGCUGAGGAGCCUCAGGGCACAGAGGUCUGGGAGGAACCUUGACGAUGGCCUGGAUCUACACAGCUGUGGCUUUCCUGGGAGUCUUCCCCCUACAGGUUCUGGAGCCUCCUUUGUGCUGACUCAGCCAGUCUCAAUGUCCAAAAGCCUGGGAGGGAAGGCCUCUAUCUCCUGUGCUGCGGAUGGAAUUGGUAGGAAAGUUGUUCAAUGGUACCAGCAGAAACCUGGUCAGGCCCCUAAGCUGGUGAUUUAUGAUGAUAACAGCAGGCCCUUGGGGAUCUCUGACAGAUUCUGUGGCUCUACCUCAGGGAACACAGCCACCCUGAGCAUCUCUGGGCUUCAGGCUGAGGAUGAGGCUGAUUAUUACUGUCAGGUAUGGGAUAAUGAUGCUGAUGCUCACAGUGACACAGACUGA